GAUGAACGCUGGCGGCGUGCCUAAUACAUGCAAGUCGAGCGAAGCGGGGACGGGUGAGUAACACGUGGAUAACCUCCUAUAAGAGGGGGAUAACUUCGGGAAACCGGAGCUAAACCGGAAACUUAUCGGUGGAGCCGCGCUGCAUUAGCGAGUGGGUAAGGUAACGGCUUACCAAGGCAACGAUGCAUAGCCGGCCUGAGAGGGUGAUCGGCCACACUGGAACUGAGACACGGUCCAGACUCCUACGGGAGGCAGCAGUAGGGAAUCUUCCGCAAUGGGCGAAAGCCUGACGGAGCAAUGCCGCGUGUGUGAUGAAGGUCUUCGGAUCGUAAAACACUGUUAUUAGGGAAGCGGUACCUACACAGAAAGCCACGGCUAACUCCGUGCCAGCAGCCGCGGUAAUAC
rnacentral:rRNA from 1 species